rnacentral:rRNA from 1 species
GUGGGGAAUAUUGGACAAUGGGCGAAAGCCUGAUCCAGCCAUGCCGCGUGUGUGAAGAAGGUCUUCGGAUUGUAAAGCACUUUAAGUUGGGAGGAAGGGCAGUAAGUUAAUACCUUGCUGUUUUGACGUUACCAACAGAAUAAGCACCGGCUAACUUCGUGCCAGCAGCCGCGGUAAUACGUAGGGUGCGAGCGUUAAUCGGAAUUACUGGGCGUAAAGCGCGCGUAGGUGGUUUUGUAAGUUGGAGGUGAAAUCCCCGGGCUCAACCUGGGAACUGCCUCCAAAACUGCAUGACUAGAGUACGGUAGAGGGUAGUGGAAUUUCCUGUGUAGCGGUGAAAUGCGUAGAUAUAGGAAGGAACACCAGUGGCGAAGGCGACUACCUGGACUGAUACUGACACUGAGGUGCGAAAGCGUGGGGAGCAAACAGGAUUAGAUACCCGAGUAGUCC